UACAGAGGUCCCAAGCGUUGUUCGGAUUCACUGGGCGUAAAGGGUGCGUAGGUGGUGGGGUAAGUUUGAUGUGAAAGCUCCGGGCUUAACCCGGAAAUGGCAUUGAAUACUAUCUCGCUUGAGGGUUGGAGGGGAGACUGGAAUUCUUGGUGUAGCAGUGAAAUGCGUAGAUAUCAAGAGGAACACCAGUGGCGAAGGCAGCUUACUAAAGUAUGAUUGACGCUGAGGCACGAAAGCGUGGGGAUCAAACAGG
rnacentral:rRNA from 1 species